GAAACAUUUAAAUAUAUAAAGGGAAUCAACACAGUAAAGGAGGAGACUAUAUUUAAAAGAAGAAAAACUAUCACAACAAGAGGACAUAGUCUUAAAUUAGAGAGGCAAAGAUUUAAAAAUAAUAUCAGGACAGGAAGUAUUACUUUACUGAGAGGGUAGUGGAUGCAUGGAAUAGCAUUCCAGCUGAAGUGGUAGAGAUUAACACAGUAAAGGAGUUUAAGCAUCCGUGGGAUAGGCAUAAGGCUAUCUUAACUAUAAGAUAAGGCCAGGAACUAAUAAAAGUAUUUAGAAGAUUGGGCAGACUAGAUGGGCCAAAUGGUUUUUAUUUGCCGUCACAUUCUAUGUUUCAAUAUUUCUACGUUUCUAGUUCAGUAAAGUAGUGGAAGGAUGUUUGGGAUUUGCAUUUGGCUGACCUAAUGGAAAAUAUAAAAUGGAGACUCAUUAUGGCAAAGUGGAGGUACUAAUUGGUUUUAUGACUAAUCACAAUCUGUACUCAGUGGCUACAUUAUUAUGUAGAUCAUCUUGUUUAAACUAAUAGCUACAAAAGCAGAGAGAACUUUGAGAAAAGGCAAAAGGUUAGAGGAUCUCAGUGGUUUGCCUUUCGGUAAAUUCCCGCUCAGGUCUCAAACUAGUUUUCGCUCAUUUGUGCCAUUACAGAAUGAACCUAUAGCUUUUGCA